CUUACAACACUACUUAAAAUUGAAUGAUCUGUGGUUGAAAUCAGUUCAGGAGUCAAAUUAUUGUAGGUUAGUUUGGUAACUGCUAAAUUAUUCCCACCCUUGAGACAAAAAUGACAAAUGCACAUGAGGAAGGGCAGAAGCAAAAUGGCUUGUCUCACUCAUGAGGCUUCAGGCAAAAUGCAACAUGCAGACAGGUCAGCUGUGAACAUGACUGUUUCACUCUCUGGAUCUAAACCUAAGCCCUAAUCUGGGCUGUUAUCUUGCCCCAACAUCAUUUGAUCUCAAUAUUGACAAAAUGGGAAAUCUGCCAGACAGGCUUCUUCGUGCUGCAACAAUUGGGAUGAUAGAUUAAAAUGACAUGAAGUAAUAGAGCUGUUUAAUCAGUCCUGAGCUGAAGAACAAAAAGGGAUAAAGAAAUAGAUGUACAAGACUGAAACAAAAUCAUACAGGAAGGUGAUAGCGAAACUUCUACUUUUCCAUUGACUGAUUAGGAUUCAGCUGAUUUCUUGAUCUAGUGAGUUUCAUUUGUAGUAGAAAACUCUAGAUGGUAAAUUCUCAUAGCUGAAUCCUUCAUAAUCCCAUGUAUAUACACCUACAAGGAACCAAAUGCUUGUGACUUCUCUCAAAAUUCACUGAUGGUGUGAUUUUGUUCUUUUUUCAUACGAGUGAGUAGGAUGGCAUCUGAUUUACCUCAACACUUAGUAAGAACCCCUUUAGAAAAUUUAUACUCUCUUAGUUCACAUUUGCUUUUAGUAAUAUUUUUGUGAUGACCCAAUCUUAUUUUUGACCUGUUGAACCCCUGCUUUACAGGUCAGUAGGGAGUUCAUCAGAAUAAAAUCAGAAGCUUGAGUUACAUGACAACUGUCAUGUUGGGACUUUUAAACCUUUCUUUUUUGUUCAGCUGGGUAGGAAACAAAAUCUAAGUGUUGGUGAAGGUGCAGCUACUUGCUGUUUUGUGAAAGUUCUGAUUUCCUGCGCUAGACCAGAAUGGCAGCUCAACCUUUUCUGAGGUUCCAUGAAGGGAAACUCUAACCUACCUGGUGCUAAACUGGCAUCUCAAAACAUAAAAUGCAUUUGUCAGGCUAGACAUCCUUGUCUACAAAAAUAACCUUCCCCCCCCCCCCCCCCCCCCCCCCCAAGUGUUUGGUAAGCAUUUUGAACAUGAGGGUAGGUCUGUCUUACCUAAGCAGUAAUGCAUUCUGUGGGACAGUUUGAGGAGGGGUAUGAGAAAUCCUGAGGCUCAUAACAGGUAGCCUGAAAACAGGUCUGUAGAUUUAUUUCCAUAGAAGUAUUGCUGCCUAAUAAUAUUUUCAAGGAGGAACUGGAUUAGGAACAUUUUAUUUUGUCGCUUCCUGUUAGAUACUUUCCAGGUCAAGUCUUGUGUUGCUGUUUCCACCUAUUCUUAGUAUUUUUGUUUCCAGAAAUUCAUAGUUAGGCUGGCAAAAGAAAGUGUUACCAAAAAGGAAAUUCUUGAGGUAAAAUUGAGUUUGAAUUCUAUAUUUUAUGUGAUGUUAUGUAAAUGAAACUGAUCUUCUGUGUCUAACGUAACUUUCAACUAAUGCAGCCUAUUUCAUGGCUGUUUGGUUAGGUAUAUCUACAUUGCAAAACCUUUGCAAAUUCUUUUAAGCUCCAGAUCACCACACAAGUAAAAUACAGAAUAUUGUGUAAUAUACUAAUUUCAGCACUGCUAUUUUUAGUUUAUUAAAGGGUUGGAAGUUUCAGUAGAAUCUUUCUCUUUGUUCUCAAGAGAGCAUAGUGAGCCAGAACUUUGGUGCGCAUGGUCAGAGUAACAUUUGACAGGCACAAAAACUGCUGCAGUUGCAUCUUGGUUAGAGCUUCAUCUAACUGUAGAAUGUAUGAGGUGAUGCCAGUCUUUCUUUAAUGUCACUUGGAGGGUUUUGGUUUGCUUUUUCUUUGCCUCAGGGUCCAUUGUAAAACCUCCCAGCACACUGGCAAGAAGCAGUAGCUUGUGUCGGUCAAGACGCAAUGUUUGUGCCAUCAUCUCCACAGUCUCAGCAUGCUUUGCACUCCCCUGACCCUGACAUCCUUUCUGUGUCAAGCUGCCCAGCAAUUUAUCGAACUGAAGAUGAGGAGGAAGCCAUUUACUUCUCUGCUGAUAAACAAUGGUACGGAGAUUAGCAAACAGCACUUGGAAAUCUGAUAGGAUUAUUUGAGAGUAACAGUUUAGAAUUAGGGUUGAACCAAGCAAAAAGUUAAAGUAAUCUGUAGGAUAAUAUAAAUUAAUAUAGUCCACAUGGAACAGAGAGUUCUUGUCUGAUGUGUGUGUGUAAAUAGCUAGCAUGUCAUAUACAGUUAAGUAAUGUUACAAUCCAGGGUGCACUGAACUAACCCUGAUUCUCCAUUACAAUAUGUUACUGGCUUUUACAUCUGAAACUAGGAUCAAAAGCAAUGUCAGCUACUGGGCGAAGAGAAGAUGGAUGGUAACACAGUUCUUACAGCAUGUUGAGCGUGUACCUACUCUUGUUACAUGGCCUCAUAGGAAAAGGUUAAAUUCCUUUUGGAAGGAGCAAAUGAGCUUGUUGAAAGGGAAGUACAGGAAACAGGUUCGGAAUGUGACUCCUUAAAUUCAUCCACUGGAAGGAAGCAGUCUCCUCCAGCAAGUCUUGAGGUGUACCAGAUGCUUUCUGCUCAGAAAGUAUCUCCAGAAGAAUGCUCCCUGGAGGAAUCAUCUACAGGAGACUCCUCUUCUCUAACUGCAGAUAUUUCUAGGGGCUCUCCUGACUGUGUAGGCAUGGCAGAAACUAAGAGCAUGAUCUUUAGUCCUGCAAGCAAAGUUUAUAAUGGAAUCCUGGAGAAGUCCUGCAGCAUGAACCAGCUUUCAAUUGGGAUCCCGGUCCCAAAGCCUCGGCACACCUCCUGUUCUUCAGCCAGCAGUGAUACUAAACCCAGCCAUGAAGCUGUUUCUGUCCCCAGGAUAAGUAGCAUCCCACAGGACCUGUACCAAAAUGGUGAAAAAAACAAAAAGCCAUCAAAAAUAAAAAGCCUCUUUAAGAAGAAGUGUAAGUGAGGUGGGCAGAAGAAGCCUGUAGUAGUGUUAUAAGAACUCUGUUUUUUAAAUCUUUAGGAAUGUAAUUCCAUUUGAGCAUUCCAGACUGGAUGCCCUAAUGGAAUGCUCUGUAGGUCAACUAUAUUUAACUCACUGUACUGUCAAAGGUUGUGCCAGCUGUCAAUGAGAAAUCAUUAAAAAGUUCAGACAGUUUACAUUCAUUUCUGCCUAUUUAUUUAUUUUUUUUUUUUUUUGGUUUGUCUUAGUGUUUGUUAGGGGUUUUUUUAGUGGUUUAUUUUUUCGUUUGUUUGGUUUUUUGUUUUUGGUUUUGGUUUUUUUUUUUUGUAGUUUAUUUGUAAACCAUUUUUAAGCCACUUGGACUUCUAAGCUUUAAUGGACUAGUAAGCCUUCUUGGGCUUCCCAAAGUUUCUUGUUUACUGGAGCAUCUUCCUAACUUUCUGUAGAGCUAGGACAUUUAUCUACUGGACUUUUAGAAAAAAUAAAAGAAGUAGAACUAAUUGAAUUGCACUACUGUUUUACAGACUGGAAAAGUCUCUCUGCAAGUGAAACUGAAAGACUUGUAUUUGUCUGAGAAGAUGAAUCUUUUCACUUUUAGAUCUUUUGGGGUUUUUAAGUAGAACUUAGGAUUUCUAAUUGACUUGACUUCUGGAAAUGGAAAUACCAUGCUUUUGUUAUGGGAAGCUUUGUUAGAUGCCUUUAUUGUUAGAAUGGUUCAAGUCCUGCUGUAAAGAUCAUGUUUUUCCCAGGACUUUCACUGUGAUUUUGCUUCACUGCAGGCUGUAUGACAAAAAAAAAAGGUAAUUUAACAAGAGAAGAGGCUCUUGAUUCCUUAUGCAAGCAAUGGAUAUGAAUCUUGACUGAGGACUGAAAAUAUUCACCUUCUUCAAAUGAGGAGGGGAUAGUAGCUUUUGUUUACAGACUGCUAGACAAUGGACAUUUGGCUUGUGAAAGUUUGUAUUGUGGCAAAGAUAAUAAAUUGGAAACAUUA